rnacentral:rRNA from 1 species
UUUUUUAAUUGAAAGCUUGUAUGAAUGGUUGAAUGAGAUAUUAACUGUUUCAUAAAAAUUUUUAUAGAAUUUAAUUUUUUAGUUAAAAAGCUAAAAUAUUUUUAGAGGACGAGAAGACCCUAUAAAGUUUAAUAAUUUAAUAAAAAUAAUUUUUUUAGAAUAAUUUAUAUUUUUUUUAUUAAAUUAUUUUAUUGGGGUGAUAAUAAAAUUUAAAAAACUUUUAUUUUUAAUUUACAUUGAUUUAUGAAUUUAUGAUCCAAUUUUAUUGAUUAAAAAAUUAAAUUACUUUAGGGAUAACAGCAUAAUUUUUUUUUAAAGUUCAUAUUAAUGAAAAAGAUUGU